rnacentral:misc_RNA from 1 species
UCCGAGUUGACCCCGGCAGUCUCCUGCGAGUCCCCGCCAUUACGCGCUGGCAACACAGGACAAGGGUUGCGCUCGUUGCGGGACUUAACCCAACAUCUCACGACACGAGCUGACGACAACCAUGCACCACCUGUACACCAGUCCGAAGACGCACCCAUCUCUGAGUGAUUCCGGUGUAUGUCAAGCCUUGGUAAGGUUCUUCGCGUUGCAUCGAAUUAAUCCGCAUGCUCCGCCGCUUGUGCGGGCCCCCGUCAAUUCCUUUGAGUUUUAGCCUUGCGGCCGUACUCCCCAGGCGGGGAACUUAAUGCGUUAGCUGCGGCACGGAUCUCGUGGAAUGAGACCCACACCUAGUUCCCAACGUUUACGGCAUGGACUAC